AGUGAACGCUGGCGGUAGGCCUAACACAUGCAAGUCGAACGGCAGCACAGUAAGAGCUUGCUCUUACGGGUGGCGAGUGGCGGACGGGUGAGGAAUACAUCGGAAUCUACUUUUUCGUGGGUGAUAACGUAGGGAAACUUACGCUAAUACCGCAUACGACCUACGGGUGAAAGCAGGGGAUCUUCGGACCUUGCGCGAUUGAAUGAGCCGAUGUCGGAUUAGCUAGUUGGCGUGGUAAAGGCCCACCAAGGCGACGCUCCGUAGCUGGUCUGAGAGGAUGAUCAGCCACACUGGAACUGAGACACGGUCCAGACUCCUACGGGAGGCAGCAGUGGGGAAUAUUGGACAAUGGGCGCAAGCCUGAUCCAGCCAUACCGCGUGAGUGAAGAAGGCCUUCGGGUUGUAAAGCCCUUUUGUUGGGAAAGAAAAGCAGCAGGUUAAUACCCCGCUGUUCUGACGGUACCCAAAGAGUAAGCACCGGCUAACUUCGUG
rnacentral:rRNA from 1 species